AUUGAACGCUGGCGGCAGGCCUAACACAUGCAAGUCGAGCGGAUGAAGGGAGCUUGCUCUCUGAUUCAGCGGCGGACGGGUGAGUAAUGCCUAGGAAUCUGCCCGGUAAUGGGGGAUAACGUUCCGAAAGGAACGCUAAUACCGCAUACGUCCUACGGGAGAAAGCGGGGGAUCUUCGGACAUCGCGUUAUCGGAUGAGCCUAGGUCGGAUUAGCUAGUUGGUGGGGUAAAGGCCUACCAAGGCGACGAUCCGUAACUGGUCUGAGAGGAUGAUCAGUCACACUGGAACUGAGACACGGUCCAGACUCCUACGGGAGGCAGCAGUGGGGAAUAUUGGACAAUGGGCGAAAGCCUGAUCCAGCCAUGCCGCGUGUGUGAAGAAGGUCUUCGGAUUGUAAAGCACUUUAAGUUGGGAGGAAGGGCAGUAAGUUAAUACCUUGCUGUUUUGACGUUACCAACAGAAUAAGCACCGGCUAACUUCGUGCCAGCCGCCGCCGUAAGAC
rnacentral:rRNA from 1 species